UACCCGCAGCACAAGUGGUGGUCAUUAUUAUUGGGCCUAAAGCGUCCGUAGCUGGCCUGUUAGAUGCCUGGGUAAAUCGAUGCGCUCAACGUAUCGAACUCCGGGUAGACCGGCAGGCUUGGGACCGGGAGAGGCGUGAGCUACUCGGGGGGUAGGGGUAAAAUCCUGUAAUCCUCCGGGGAGGACCAGUGGCGAAGGCGUCACGCUAGAACGGCUCCGACAGUGAGGGACGAAGCCCUGGGGCGCAAACCGG
rnacentral:rRNA from 1 species